UACGUAGGGGGCUAGCGUUGUCCGGAAUCAUUGGGCGUAAAGAGCGUGUAGGCGGUCCGGUAAGUCCGCUGUGAAAGUCGGGGGGCUCAACCCUCGAAUGCCGGUGGAUACUGUCGGGCUAGAGUGCGGAAGAGGCGAGUGGAAUUCCUGGUGUAGCGGUGAAAUGCGCAGAUAUCAGGAGGAACACCUAUUGCGAAGGCAGCUCGCUGGGACGUAACUGACGCUGGAGACGCGAAAGCGUGGGGAGCAAACAGG
rnacentral:rRNA from 1 species